rnacentral:rRNA from 1 species
AUUGAACGCUGGCGGCAGGCCUAACACAUGCAAGUCGAGCGAGCGGCGGACGGGUGAGUAAUGUCUGGGAAACUGACGGAUGGAGGGGGAUAACUACUGGAAACGGUAGCUAAUAACGCAUACCAUCAGAUGUGCCCAGGUGGGAUUAGCUAGUAGGUGGGGACACGGCUGACCUAGGCGACGAUCCGUAGCUGGUCGGAGAGGAUGACCAGCAACACGGGAACUGAGACCCGGGCCAGACUCCUACGGGAGGCAGCAGUGGGGAAGUGUGCACAAUGGGCGAAAGCCUGAUGCAGCCAUGCCGCGUGUGUGAAGAAGGCCUUCGGGUUGUAAAGCUCUGUCAGCGGGGAGGCGUUACCCGCAGAAGAAGCACCGGCUAAAUCCGUGCCAGCAGCCGCGGUAAUUC